rnacentral:pre_miRNA from 1 species
UCUUAUGAAUGAACAAAGGAAGUGGUUCCUUAAGAUCGAGUCUACUCCUGGUAUAGAUGCUGUGAA